AUUGAACGCUGGCGGCAGGCCUAACACAUGCAAGUCGAGCGAGCGGCGGACGGGUGAGGAAUGUGAGGGGACUGCUCGUUAGAGGUGGAUUACGACGGGGAACGGUAGCUAAUACUGCAUACUGUUGGACUACGUAUGUGGGAGUAGCUAGUGGGGUAGGUAAUGGCUCACCUAGGCGACGAUCCCUAGCCGGGCUGGGAGGAUGAUCAGCCACACUGGGACUGAGACACGGCCCAGACUCCUACGGAGGCAGCAGUGGGGAAUAUUGCACAAUGGGCGCAAGCCUGAUGCAGCCAUGCCGCGUGUAUGAAGAAGGCCCUCGGGUUGUAAAGUACUUUCAGUCGGGAGGCGUUACCGACAGAAGAAGCACCGGCUAACUCCGUGCCAGCAGCCGCGGUAAUUC
rnacentral:rRNA from 1 species